ACACAUCGUCAGAGGUAGCUAUUGGUGGUAUAGGAGUAGAGGCUGAACCUUCCUGCUAAUACUCCACUACAUUUUGUUGCCAUUCAACAGACGGCAGCAGGGGGAGAGUCUGACAAAAGCUUCCAUGGAAAUAAAUUGAAGCAUCACUUUCAGAGUGGCCUACAUAGAUUGCAGUUCUCCUUGGGAACUUCAGCUUUCUGGUGUCUGCUAAAAGGGUAACAUCACAGAAGGACCACAGGAAGAGUUCUCUUUCUGGAUGAAUUUCGUGAAUAAUUUUCAUAUGGGGAGGAAGAAGAAGAAAGAGCACGCUAAUGACCUUUAUGUUUUCAAAGAGGUCUGAGAUUGCUGAGAUUGCCAGGAAACCUGCCACAGGGCUGGCAAAUAAACAAGGAAUACCUAGCAGACCCAUGACUUUUGGAUCAGCUGAUGGAGGCCAAGUCUUAUACCUCAGAGUUCCCGACAUGGCACAAGGACCUUGCAUUUUGGGAGCUAAGUCCACUGACUGGAAUGGGAGCACGGAUAUCUAACUCUCCCAGACUCCUGCCUCCAGAUGCCAAAUUUUAUUCCUGUUGUAACCCCAAGCUGGAUUCCGGCUCAUAUUCUUAGAUGGUUAAAGUGACACAAGAGACUGGAAUCAGUUGUCUGCAGAAAGGAUUUAGUUCUAUUUUAGCACCAAAUGUUAAAUGCUGUCAGUUGUCUCACAUUACUUUUGCUUGUCAGUAAGGAUUCAAUUUAAAUGACAUCAAGAUCUCUGAGUUUAUUGAAACCCACCCAAUAUGGGACUCAAGAUUUACCUCUAGCAAGUAUUCAGUGCUUCAAAAAAGAAGGACAGCAUGUUUAAGGGACUUCUUGCUAAAGUUCUGAGGAGUGAGGUUGGAGUAGGGAAAGGGAUGAAAAAAAGGAAUUAUGAUUUCAGAGAUUUUUUUGUGAGCACUGAGUGUGAGCAUCCAGGAUUUUCAAUAUUUAAUUAAAAACAAACAAACAAACAAACAAAAAACCAUCCAGGAUGACUUAAAUAUGCCUUGAAAUUCCUGUUGUUGGUAAUCUUCAUUUUCCUCUUAGGCACUCAAGAUGACUGUUAAUUACUAGAUAGAUCUAGUAGUGCCAACAGAAUACCAUCAUUAAACAUGAAGUUACCAAUAAUAACAGUCAGUUUCUCAGCAAAACAAUCUAUACUCAUUUUUGUAGAAAGGGCAGUUUUUCUACCUGAUGUACUUUUUCACAGAAUUCAAUUUAUUGGUAAAAAUAUACCAGUAUGGUUAACGAUAAAAUAAAAGGGGAAUUAAAAUGGCUCUCUUCAACAGAACAAUAUUUUGCAAUUUAUACUUCUAGAUAGAUCAGUAUUAUUCCUCUUCCUGAUAUUCCUUUGUGGAUGUGAUGUAUCUGCAAUAGUUUAUUAACUGUCAGUAAACCUAAUUAUGCAAUGCUUACAAUGUCUAAUUUACCUUUACUUUCAGCUAAUUGGUCAAUUAUCUUGAUUUGGGGAAUAAUCAGUUUACAGUGCUGAGCACACAGAUGGGAUUUGACAACGAGAGUACAGAAGUACUGUGUAAAUGGUGGUAUACAGAUUUAUUCGUAACGCUUUUCGUGAAGAAACAUUGCAGUGGUGCCUACCAAGUUUCAAUCCUUAGUUGUUAAACAUCAAGGAAGCGUUCAAUCCAUUAAAAAACGAUGUCCUCAAUUUGUAAUUAAAGAGAAAAAAAAAAUCACCUCUGCUUGCCAUAUGUUACAAAAUCCAUCGUUUGUGAAAUCCCUCUGCCCCC
ensembl:lncRNA